UACCCCAACCGAAAGGAGGGGGAUGCCUAAGGUAGGACUGGUGACUGGGGUGAAGUCGUAACAAGGUAGCCGUACCGGAAGGUGUGGCUGGAUCACCUCCUUUUAGGGAG
rnacentral:rRNA from 1 species